rnacentral:rRNA from 1 species
UACGUAGGGCGCGAGCGUUGUCCGGAAUCAUUGGGCGUAAAGAGCUCGUAGGCGGCCGGUUGCGUCUGCUGUGAAAUCCCGGGGCUUAACCCCGGGCGUGCAGUGGAUACGGGCUGGCUGGAGGCAGGCAGGGGAGAAUGGAAUUCCCGGUGUAGCGGUGAAAUGCGCAAAUAUCGGGAGGAACACCGGUGGCGAAGGCGGUUCUCUGGGCCUGUGCUGACGCUGAGGAGCGAAAGCGUGGGAGCGAACAGG